AUCUUUUGCAUCUAUAGCUACUCCGCAUUUCCGCAAGAUGAAAUUUACAGAAUUUAUUUAAAAUGAAAAUUUUUUAGACAAAAAUUUUCUUGGAGAAUAAGUGGAACCUGAAGGCUUGGGAACCGAGACUGCGUCAUUCUCAUUGGCACUAUGAUGAACACCUGAUGAAUUCUACGGCCGAGGUCGCGACUGGAAUGCAGACCUCAUUUCGAAUUCCUCGUGACUCAUGGACAAUUUUUGAAGUUAUUAAAUCCACAUGGAUGUUACAUGUUACUCGGUAUCUGGAGUUUAAGUCGAUGGAAGGUGUAGCCAUGUCUACAACAAACCCGGCAGAAUUUCAAAAGUCUCUGUGGACAAAAAUGAAGCCUUUUCGUCAGUGGCAGUCACUGGAUUGAAGGACCCUGCAAAGCUGAACCAAAAUUUAACCCUGGGCCAGAGGGACUGUUUUGAAGAGAUCCAUCAUUCAGGCGGGCAAUUAACCUGCCAUCAUCAGCAAGCGGCCCUGGAAAGAUUUUCGCCCUGGUCAAGACCAGUCAGCGUUGACCUUCUCUCAGGUGUGAUGCUUCUGAUCCAAGAAAACCCUGUCAGCAAUGCGAAGCACUUCAGAAAGGCGGUGAUUGGUAAAUUGGGCAAACGGAGGCCUGCCCUGGAUCAUUUUCCCCUCUCUCCACUUAAUCAAAAGACGCUGCAACCUGGUCAACGGAGACGCUGAGCGGAUUGCCUACCCACACUACUUUGCCUGCGACGAAACAAAAAGCGGCAAGGAGAGCUCACGGCUGGCUUGCUCGCGUUUCUCAAAGAGCGGCGACGUAAUUCUCCUGGCAUUCCUUGAC